rnacentral:rRNA from 1 species
AUACGGAGGGUGCAAGCGUUGUUCGGAAUUAUAGGGCGUAAAGAGCAUGUAGGCGGUUCGUUAAGUCUGAUGUGAAAGCCCGGGGCUCAACCCCGGAAGUGCAUUGGAUACUGGUGAACUUGAGUACGGGAGAGGAAAGUGGAAUUUCGAGUGUAGGGGUGAAAUCCGUAGAUAUUCGAAGGAACACCAGUGGCGAAGGCGGCUUUCUGGACCGAUACUGACGCUGAGAUGCGAAAGCGUGGGGAGCAAACAGGAUUAGAAACCCCAGUAGUCC